AGGUAUAUAGCUCAGUGGUAGAGCGCAUGCCUAGCAUGAAUGAGGUCCUGGGUUCAAGUCCCAGUACUUCUG
rnacentral:tRNA from 1 species